GAUGAACGCUAGCUACAGGCUUAACACAUGCAAGUCGAGGGGCAGCAUGAUUGAAGCUUGCUUCAAUCGAUGGCGACCGGCGCACGGGUGAGUAACACGUAUCCAACCUGCCGAUAACUCGGGGAUAGCCUUUCGAAAGAAAGAUUAAUACCCGUUAGUAUAGUAUUUCCGCAUGGUUUCACUAUUAAAGAACUUCGGUUAUCGAUGGGGAUGCGUUCCAUUAGAUAGUUGGCGGGGUAACGGCCCACCAAGUCAACGAUGGAUAGGGGUUCUGAGAGGAAGGUCCCCCACAUUGGAACUGAGACACGGUCCAAACUCCUACGGAAGGCAGCAGUGAGGAAUAUUGGUCAAUGGACGAGAGUCUGAACCAGCCAAGUAGCGUGAAGGAGGACUGCCCUAGGGGUUGUAAACUUCUUUGAUACGGGAAUAAAGUGGAGUAUGCAUACUCCUUUGUAUGUACCGUAUGAAUAAGGAUCGGCUAACUCCGUG
rnacentral:rRNA from 1 species